rnacentral:rRNA from 1 species
UCUAUUUGGGGAUAUAAAAAGUCUGACCUGCCCACUGAUAGGUAAAUUUUUAAGGGCCGCGGUAUUAUGACCGUGCAAAGGUAGCAUAAUCAUUAGGUUUUUAAAUGGGAUCUUGUAUGAAUGGUUGAACAAAAGAAAAACUGUCUUUAAUAUAAUAUUUGAAUUUAACUUUUAAGUGAGAAGGCUUAAAUAUUCUAAAGGGACGAUAAGACCCUAUAAAGCUUUAUAUUAUGGUUAUAUUUAAUUAAAUUUAAUAAUAAAAGUUUAAUUUAAUUAUUUUAUUGUGUUGGGGAGAUAAAAGUAAAAUUUAUAAUAACUGCUAUUAAAAGAGACAAUUAUAGGUGAUUAAGGGCAAUAAUAGAUCCUAAAUAAAGAUUAGAAGA